rnacentral:rRNA from 2 species
GGAUCAAUGGAUUGGUCAUGCCGAUGGUGUGUACUGGUCAUAUUGGUUCUCACCUUCUAAGGAACCAUAAUGUCAUUUAUUUGAUGUUGUGGGGAAUUAGGACUGUUACCUUGAAAAAAUUAGAGUGUUUAAAGCAGGCUAACGCUUGAAUACAUUAGCAUGGAAUAAUGAAAUAGGACAUCGCAUUCUAUUUUGUUGGUUUCUAGGAUCGAUGUAAUGAUUAAUAGGGAUAGUUG